ACCACCUGGACACAAUCAUGCACAUGCACACACAAACACGUGCACUACUUAAAUAUGUCCCCUUCCUCUGACCUCACUACUGUGUGCAGUGACUGAAGUUGGGAAGGCCAUUGAUGUUUAUCUUAAUGUCUAACCCAAAAGAGCCAAAAGGCAGCGGUAGGGCAGCACCUCCCCUGGUCAAUAGAAUGCUGUUUGAUGUGUAACAAAGUGCAGGCCUCUUUCCGACAGGAUGUUAUUGUGCUCUUGGCACUUUGAGACUUUGUAGUAGCUCGGAAUCACAAACACUACACGGGCAUCGACACUACCCAAUGAGUAGCUCAGACCUGAGCUGAAUUAACCGGAUUCAUGUUGUCUCUGUUAACCCUGUAACCUGGCCAUGAUUCCUGACUUAUUGGCAGCCUGGCCAGGUUUAGUUUUUCCCCAGAAUGCCAUUACUACUGUCCUUUUCUGGAUCAAUACCAUGCACCAGGGCCACAGAGACCAGUGUCUAACUUGCAUGUAUUUAGCUGCAGGGAAUUUCACCUCCAUCUUAAAAAAAAAGAGUUCAGUAAGUCACGUGGGUAUGCCAAAGACGCAAAACUACAGAAAUGAAAAAGCUGCUUAGGUCAGUAAUAUGGUCCUUUUUAGUUAUGCUGUCUGUUGAUCCUUAAAAAGUCUUCAAUUCAUUUAUCUUAUAAAAAGGACUAACAUCCGUCUUAAAUACUUCUUCCAUGGGUCUUAAAAUUCCACAGACAAUAAAUACAAUUUUGGUUUACUGUCAUGCAGUGUAUUUUGCAGCUAUGACAGUAUUUCCAUUUAUCUGAGGUGGCACAAGUUUCUUACUAUGAUUUGCUUUAACUUGCAGAAACGUUAAGUGUCGGGCAUCGGAAAGUGUACAUUUAAAACACAAACAGGUUAGAUAACCCACAUUUUUCACUGCGGUUAAAACCAGUUCAAGGUAAUCAGUACGAAGUGCAUUGCACACUGUCCUAGAAAGUUUUCAAACUCGACACAAAGGGAGUAAAAGCUGUGGAAUCGCACAUGGCGUGCGAGAAGGAGAGUGCAUUCACCAGCACUGCUCUGUUGCUCUUCCCCUUUGUAGCGAAGCUAACAAAGUAGUCAGAAUUGUUUCAAGCAAUGUGUCCUGAUCCGGAGCUCCCUCACACCAUGGCGUUGAGUAAAGACAGUUCAGCAUACUUUACCAGCUUCAGAUUGCCACCUAAAACUACAUUUAUACUGUGCGUGCGUAUGAAAUUAGUCAUGCGCGUGGGCCCGGCGCAGUGUCACGUUGCGUUUUCAUGCUCUCGAGUUUUUCAAACUGUGGUAAACGUUUGCUUCUUUUUCGUGCAUCGUGUCUUUGCCCGGUUCCGCGAUCGACUUUCGAGAACACUGCAAGCCCAAACGCGCCGGUAUAAAUGCGUAUUUGCCCGCGCCAGGCAGCGAGACUACGCACUUGUUCGGUUUAACGCGGCGCAAGGCGCACUGACUGCCUCCGGUUAGUUUUCGGGUCCUACUUGCCUCGGGCCCACCGGCGCGCCACUAUAAUAUGCACCACUAUAACGUCAUCACAGCGAGGCGGCUACAGGUGUCAGAGCGCGCGCUGGACGCGCGAGCUGAGAGACGGCAGAGCCUGGCGCGUGUCGUCUAGCAGCUCCACUACGCGCACGCACGCACAGACCGCCGCUACAGCCAAGCGAAGAAGAUCUCGUGCAGUCGCAGCUUAUGGGCCAUUGGCGAGUUUACGAUAUACUCCACCACUUUAAAGAAUGUACAGAGCAGCUGGACAAAACCCUGCUGUCAGUCUUUACAGACGGACCCGGGGCAACUGGAAUACAUGGAGCUUCUUUAACCAGAGUGGCGUGAGCAGUGUGGGGCAUUCAGCUGAUUGCUGGGGGGAGCUGUGACCUUCACAGCCUACACAACGACUGCAAAAGUGGCUUGUCUGUGUGGCAGCUAGAGGUUUUAAUGGCCAUGCACAUGUACACUAUGUGCCAGCAAGGAAGGAGGACUUCACUGCUCUGAACAAACCCACAAAACCUCCCUUCUGUGGCCUCCAUUGGCUCUGUAACUUUCCAAAAGAGAUCACUGGAGAGGAGAAGACAAAGAAGCUAGCAAAUCCAGCAACUACGACUUUUGACACCUUAGAAGAUACAAAGCUGCAUUCUCACGCUCAACAGGAUCUUCCAGUCUCGACUACAUAUCACACAGAUAAUGUUCUACAGAUCAAAUAUUCCAGUAUUUGAUACAGGUUUUAUUUAAAGUGUUAGCGAGCACUGUACUUUUAAAUAUAGCACGAGAAUAUAAUAUAAAGUGUGUUUGCGUGUUGACAGGUUGCUCAGGAAUUUUGUAAAGAGGGAGGUUCUUGGGUUCUUGACAAGAACAACCACCUACACACAGGAAGUAAACAUAGGCUUGGGUGCAGAAUCAUUUUACGGUAUUUUACGGUCUGUAUAUUAGGAGACUGUAUAUUAGUCUUUGUGUUAGGAGCUACAGAGUCAGAAAAGGGUAUGUGAACUCCCAGUUGUGGAGUAUAGGAAAGACUUAGUUAAAGUGACAAAAACCAUUAUUCAGAAACUGUAGGACAGGACUCCAUUAAAGUAUCCCACAGUUUCAAUCUCAGCAUGGUGCUGUCUCAUCCAGACAGGUGCCAGACGAAUGUGAAGAAACUGGUUCAGAGGUUUCUGCAGCAGCCGUUAAGGGAGAAAAUAGAGUAGGUCUAAUGUGAAGUUUGAACUAGAGCUGGUGCUUCUAAAUUUAAAUGAGGUCUGACUCGUCAUAAAUUAACAUGAACCUAAAUAUCUUUUUUUAUUGGUUGUUUUUGUUUUUGUUGUAGGUGAUAUGAUUAUUCAGCAGUUUGGUAACGUCAUGUCAAUUGAAGCUAGAAAUGAGACAUUUCUAACCUAGCAACCCACUGAAAUGAGUCUGGAUGCAUUCCACUAUCAUGAGUUGUGGUACUUUUGCAAGUAGUUAUUUCGUUUGUCCCAUGGGCAGGCAACAGUGAAGAGUGUAGGCUCUAAGUCCCUGUUUCAAAAGUCUAGAUACAGCAUUCGCCAAGAGAUGAGUGGACGAAAAUCACUGAUGCCCAGGUACAAAAGAGAAAGACUCAGGCCCUGCUCCUGAAGGAGCUGAGGGAAAAGCCAGCGUCUUGAUGGCUCAAAAUCAAAAUUUAUCACAAAAUCAAACACAUCAGGAACUGACACAAAGAAAAAAAUGAACUAAAAAAUUAAGGAAGAGUUGGAGACAAUUGACACUUAGCCACGUCAUGAUUCUGAGAAAAGAACUGAAAAUGGGAGAUUUUCAGUGUGUGUAGACAGUGACAUUUUUGUUUGUACAAAACUGCUAGUUUAUGUUUGCUUCAGAUAUUGGAUCACCAGGAAAUACAAGUUUGUAAACACAA